rnacentral:rRNA from 1 species
AAUGGGGAAACCCAGUGUGACUCGUCACACUAUCAUUAACUGAAUCCAUAGGUUAAUGAGGCGAACCGGGGGAACUGAAACAUCUAAGUACCCCGAGGAAAAGAAAUCAACCGAGAUUCCCCCAGUAGCGGCGAGCGAACGGGGAGGAGCCCAGAGCCUGAAUCAGCAUGUGUGUUAGUGGAAGCGUCUGGAAAGGCGCGCGAUACAGGGUGACAGCCCCGUACACAAAAGCGCAUGUGCUGUGAGCUCGAUGAGUAGGGCGGGACACGUGGUAUCCUGUCUGAAUAUGGGGGGACCAUCCUCCAAGGCUAAAUACUCCUGACUGACCGAUAGUGAACCAGUACCGUGAGGGAAAGGCGAAAAGAACCCCGGCGAGGGGAGUGAAAAAGAACCUGAAACCGUGUACGUACAAGCAGUGGGAGCACCCUUUGGGUGUGACUGCGUACCUUUUGUAUAAUGGGUCAGCGACUUAUAUUCUGUAGCAAGGUUAACCGAAUAGGGGAGCCGGAGGGAAACCGAGUCUUAAUUGGGCGUUAAGUUGCAGGGUAUAGACCCGAAACCCGGUGAUCUAGCCAUGGGCAGGUUGAAGGUUGGGUAACACUAACUGGAGGACCGAACCGACUAAUGUUGAAAAAUUAGCGGAUGACCUGUGGCUGGGGGUGAAAGGCCAAUCAAACCGGGAGAUAGCUGGUUCUCCCCGAAAGCUAUUUAGGUAGCGCCUCGUGAAUUCAUCUCCGGGGGUAGAGCACUGUUUCGGCUAGGGGGCCAUCCCGGCUUACCAACCCGAUGCAAACUGCGAAUACCGGAGAAUGUUAUCACGGGAGACACACGGCGGGUGCUAACGUCCGUCGUGAAGAGGGAAACAACCCAGACCGCCAGCUAAGGUCCCAAAGUCAUGGUUAAGUGGGAAACGAUGUGGGAAGGCCCAGACAGCCAGGAUGUUGGCUUAGAAGCAGCCAUCAUUUAAAGAAAGCGUAAUAGCUCACUGGUCGAGUCGGCCUGCGCGGAAGAUGUAACGGGGCUAAACCAUGCACCGAAGCUGCGGCAGCGACACUGUGUGUUGUUGGGUAGGGGAGCGUUCUGUAAGCCUGUGAAGGUGUGUCGUGAGGCAUGCUGGAGGUAUCAGAAGUGCGAAUGCUGACAUAAGUAACGAUAAAGCGGGUGAAAAGCCCGCUCGCCGGAAGACCAAGGGUUCCUGUCCAACGUUAAUCGGGGCAGGGUGAGUCGACCCCUAAGGCGAGGCCGAAAGGCGUAGUCGAUGGGAAACGGGUUAAUAUUCCCGUACUUGGUGUUACUGCGAAGGGGGGACGGAGAAGGCUAUGUUGGCCGGGCGACGGUUGUCCCGGUUUAAGCGUGUAGGUGUGUGUUCCAGGUAAAUCCGGUUCACUUUAACACUGAGGCGUGACGACGAGGCACUACGGUGCUGAAGCAACAAAUGCCCUGCUUCCAGGAAAAGCCUCUAAGCAUCAGGUAACAUCAAAUCGUACCCCAAACCGACACAGGUGGUCAGGUAGAGAAUACCAAGGCGCUUGAGAGAACUCGGGUGAAGGAACUAGGCAAAAUGGUGCCGUAACUUCGGGAGAAGGCACGCUGACACGUAGGUGAAGUGAUUUACUCAUGGAGCUGAAGUCAGUCGAAGAUACCAGCUGGCUGCAACUGUUUAUUAAAAACACAGCACUGUGCAAACACGAAAGUGGACGUAUACGGUGUGACGCCUGCCCGGUGCCGGAAGGUUAAUUGAUGGGGUCAGCGCAAGCGAAGCUCCUGAUCGAAGCCCCGGUAAACGGCGGCCGUAACUAUAACGGUCCUAAGGUAGCGAAAUUCCUUGUCGGGUAAGUUCCGACCUGCACGAAUGGCGUAAUGAUGGCCAGGCUGUCUCCACCCGAGACUCAGUGAAAUUGAACUCGCUGUGAAGAUGCAGUGUACCCGCGGCAAGACGGAAAGACCCCGUGAACCUUUACUAUAGCUUGACACUGAACAUUGAGCCUUGAUGUGUAGGAUAGGUGGGAGGCUUUGAAGUGUGGACGCCAGUCUGCAUGGAGCCGACCUUGAAAUACCACCCUUUAAUGUUUGAUGUUCUAACGUGGACCCGUUACCCGGGUUGCGGACAGUGUCUGGUGGGUAGUUUGACUGGGGCGGUCUCCUCCUAAAGAGUAACGGAGGAGCACGAAGGUUGGCUAAUCCUGGUCGGACAUCAGGAGGUUAGUGCAAUGGCAUAAGCCAGCUUGACUGCGAGCGUGACGGCGCGAGCAGGUGCGAAAGCAGGUCAUAGUGAUCCGGUGGUUCUGAAUGGAAGGGCCAUCGCUCAACGGAUAAAAGGUACUCCGGGGAUAACAGGCUGAUACCGCCCAAGAGUUCAUAUCGACGGCGGUGUUUGGCACCUCGAUGUCGGCUCAUCACAUCCUGGGGCUGAAGUAGGUCCCAAGGGUAUGGCUGUUCGCCAUUUAAAGUGGUACGCGAGCUGGGUUUAGAACGUCGUGAGACAGUUCGGUCCCUAUCUGCCGUGGGCGCUGGAGAACUGAGGGGGGCUGCUCCUAGUACGAGAGGACCGGAGUGGACGCAUCACUGGUGUUCGGGUUGUCAUGCCAAUGGCACUGCCCGGUAGCUAAAUGCGGAAGAGAUAAGUGCUGAAAGCAUCUAAGCACGAAACUUGCCCCGAGAUGAGUUCUCCCUGAGACUUAAAGUCUCCUGAAGGAACGUUGAAGACGACGACGUUGAUAGGCCGGGUGUGUAAGCGCAGCGAUGCGUUGAGCUAACCGGUACUAAUGAACCGUGAGGCUUAACCUUACAACGCCGAAG